rnacentral:rRNA from 1 species
AACGAACGCUGGCGGCAUGCCUAACACAUGCAAGUCGAACGAGAUCUUCGGGUCUAGUGGCGCACGGGUGCGUAACGCGUGGGAAUCUGCCCUUUGGUUCGGAAUAACAGUUGGAAACGACUGCUAAUACCGGAUGAUGACGAAAGUCCAAAGAUUUAUCGCCAGAGGAUGAGCCCGCGUAGGAUUAGCUAGUUGGUGUGGUAAAGGCGCACCAAGGCGACGAUCCUUAGCUGGUCUGAGAGGAUGAUCAGCCACACUGGGACUGAGACACGGCCCAGACUCCUACGGGAGGCAGCAGUGGGGAAUAUUGGACAAUGGGCGAAAGCCUGAUCCAGCAAUGCCGCGUGAGUGAUGAAGGCCCUAGGGUUGUAAAAUGCUGUCACCCGGGACGAAAAAAAUGACGGUACCGGGGGAGGAAGCCACGGCUAACUACGUGCCAGCCGCCGCAGUAA